rnacentral:rRNA from 1 species
UUAACACAUGCAAGUCAGGGGCAGCAUUGUGAGUAGCAAUACUUACAGAUGGCGACCGGCGCAAGGGUGCGUAACGCGUGAGCAACAUGCCCGUAACAGGGGGAUAAUCCAGGGAAACUUGGUCUAAUACCGCAUAAUAUCAAUUAGAGGCAUCUUUGAUUGAUUAAAGCUUCGGUGGUGACGGAUUGGCUCGCGUGACAUUAGCUAGAUGGAGAGGUAACGGCUCACCAUGGCGACGAUGUCUAGGGGAACUGAGAGGUUAAUCCCCCACACUGGUACUGAGACACGGACCAGACUCCUACGGGAGGCAGCAGUGAGGAAUAUUGGACAAUGGAUGGAAAUCUGAUCCAGCCAUGCCGCGUGCAGGAUGACGGCCCUAUGGGUCUUAAACUGCUUUUGUAUGGGAGCAAUAAGUUCUACGUGUAGAGCGAUGAGAGUACCAUACGAAUAAGCAUCGGCUAACUCCGUG